rnacentral:rRNA from 1 species
GAUGAACGCUGGCGGCGUGCCUAAUACAUGCAAGUCGAGCGAACAGACGAGGAGCUUGCUCCUCUGACGUUAGCGGCGGACGGGUGAGUAACACGUGGAUAACCUACCUAUAAGACUGGGAUAACUUCGGGAAACCGGAGCUAAUACCGGAUAAUAUAUUGAACCGCAUGGUUCAAUAGUGAAAGACGGUUUUGCUGUCACUUAUAGAUGGAUCCGCGCCGCAUUAGCUAGUUGGUAAGGUAACGGCUUACCAAGGCGACGAUGCGUAGCCGACCUGAGAGGGGGAUCGGCCAAACUGGAAAUGAGAAACGGUCCAGACUCCGACGGGAGGCAGCAGGAGGGAAUCUUCCGCAAUGGGCGAAAGCCUGACGGAGCAACGCCGCGUGAGUGAUGAAGGUCUUCGGAUCGUAAAACUCUGUUAUUAGGGAAGAACAAAUGUGUAAGUAACUAUGCACGUCUUGACGGUACCUAAUCAGAAAGCCACGGCUAACUACGUG